rnacentral:rRNA from 1 species
UACGUAGGGGGCAAGCGUUGUCCGGAUUUAUUGGGCGUAAAGAGCGUGUAGGCGGCCAAGCAGGUCAGCUGUGAAAACUCGAGGCUCAACCUCGAGACGUCGGUUGAAACCGCUUGGCUAGAGUCCGGAAGAGGAGAGUGGAAUUCCCGGUGUAGCGGUGAAAUGCGCAGAUAUCGGGAAGAACACCGACGGCGUAGGCAGCGCCCUAGACGAGACCUGACGCUCAGGCACGAAAGCGCGGGGAGCGAACAGG